GGACUUCAGAUAAGUUCAGGGAAUUUGUAACACAAUGGGAAAGAUGCACAUGCCUUAGUUGUUCUUUGUAAGUAUUGGUUGAUGUGCGUGUAUAAUAUGUUUGCCUAUCUGCUCAGAACUCAGAAAUGUAAAUUUUUAUAGAUUACCUCGCCACUGAGAUCCAUGUGAGAACUGUAAAUCUGCAAUAAGAAGAGACAAAUCAAACAUGAUUAGAAUUAUCUACCAAGAGUUUCUUUAUGUUAUCCCUUUUGUCAGAGCUGGACUUUUAUAUGAUUUGUCAGUUACUGUUGGGGUAAACUUAACCAUCCACUUAAAUUUCUCUGUUUAAAAUAGAUUAGGUAUUUGGUACAGAUUAAUAUGAACACUAGAUAUAAUUUAUGAUCUUAAAAUUACAAUGAUAAAGGAUGAACUCCAGAACUACAAAAUCUGGACUUGAAAUAAUGAUGCCAUUAGAUAUAUUUAAUAAUUUAUUGUAUCAGUAUAUAUGACUUAGAUUAACUUCAAACCAUUUGUGUAGGUUGCUUAGGAAAAAAACUAGGGCCAAGGAUUUUGGGAAGAAGGCCUGAAUCAGCUGUAAUCUCCUUAACUCUUCUAAUUAUAUCUAUCUCCAUCUGAAUCAAUUUUGCAAUUUUUUGACUUUAAUUUUCUAUUGGUGGAUGAAAGUAACAUGGGAUUUUGAUAGGUCCCAGAAGUGAUAUAUCAAACAUUAAAUGAACCCCUUGACAAAGAAGGACUACAGGGAAGAUCUGAUAUUCCACAGACUUUAGAAGAGUUCAUGACUGUUAUGAAGGAAGGUGGAUAUGAUGCCAAGACAUUUGCAGUUAAACUUCGAGAAAUGGUAGCACUCUCCUUUAUCUCUUUUUUUUUUUCAACAAGAGGAAAUAAUUCUAAUACAAUUGUUACAGUUUUUCAAGUUAAAGUCCCCAUUAAUCAAAGCUGAAUAUUUCUCAGGUAACCCUUAUGGAACAAAGGACUAGGAUGGCUAAAAUCCAAGAAUAUCUAUAUCGUCAUGUAGCGUCAAGCAGCAUACCUAAACAACUUCAUUGCCUUGCCUUGAGGCUGGCCAAU
rnacentral:lncRNA from 1 species